rnacentral:tRNA from 1 species
UUCCCGGUAGAGGGUAUCCAGUUCGGCGUCUUGCAGGGACUCGACGGAUUCGGGUUCGAAGCCCGCCUGGGACA